CAGUAGCCGCGGUAAUACGAAGGGUGCAAGCGUUAAUCGGAAUUACUGGGCGUAAAGCGUGCGUAGGCGGUUUGUUAAGUCUGCUGUGAAAUCCCCGGGCUCAACCUGGGAAUGGCAGUGGAUACUGGCAAGCUAGAGUGUGUCAGAGGAUGGUGGAAUUCCCGGUGUAGCGGUGAAAUGCGUAGAGAUCGGGAGGAACAUCAGUGGCGAAGGCGGCCAUCUGGGACAACACUGACGCUGAGGCGCGAAAGCGUGGGGAGCAAACAGGAUUAGAGACCCCUGUAGUCCCUGUCUCUUAUAC
rnacentral:rRNA from 1 species